rnacentral:rRNA from 1 species
CCAGACUCCUACGGGAGGCAGCAGUGGGGAAUCUUCCGCAAUGGGCGAAAGCCUGACGGAGCAACGCCGCGUGAUCGAAUGAAGGCCUUCGGGUUGUAAAGAUCUGUUGACAGGGACGAAUAAGCAAUGCGAAUAGUUUUGUGUAUGACGGUACCCAAAGAGGAAGCUCCGGCUAACUACGUGCCAGCAGCCGCGGUAAUACGUAGGGAGCGAGCGUUGUCCGGAAUUACUGGGUGUAAAGGGAGCGUAGGCGGGCGAGAAAGUUGAAUGUUAAAUCUACCGGCUUAACUGGUAGCUGCGUUCAAAACUUCUUGUCUUGAGUGAAGUAGAGGCAGGCGGAAUUCCUAGUGUAGCGGUGAAAUGCGUAGAUAUACGGAGGAACACCAGUGGCGAAGGCGGAUUGCUGGACAGUAACUGACGCUGAGGCGCGAAAGCGUGGGGAGCAAACAGGAUUAGAUACCCCUGUAA